GCCAGAGGGUGCGAACGUUGUUCGGAAUUACUGGGCGAAAAGCGCGUGUAGGCGGUGAGGCAAGUCGGAUGUGAAAGCCCAGGGCUCAACCGUGGAAGUGCACUCGAUACUGCCUUGCUGGAGUCCCGGAGAGGAUGGUGGAACUCUCGGUGUAGAGGUUAAAUUCGUAGAUAUCGAGAAGAACACCAGGGGCGAAGGCGGCCAUCCGGACGGUGACUGACGCUGAGACGCGAAAGCCUGGGGAGCAAUUAGG
rnacentral:rRNA from 1 species